UACAGAGGGUGCGAGCGUUAAUCGGAAUUACUGGGCGUAAAGCGUGCGCAGGCGGUUAUGCAAGACAGAUGUGAAAUCCCCGGGCUCAACCUGGGAACUGCAUUUGUGACUGCAUGGCUAGAGUGCGGCAGAGGGGGAUGGAAUUCCGCGUGUAGCAGUGAAAUGCGUAGAUAUGCGGAGGAACACCGAUGGCGAAGGCAAUCCCCUGGGCCUGCACUGACGCUCAUGCACGAAAGCGUGGGGAGCAAACAGG
rnacentral:rRNA from 1 species